rnacentral:lncRNA from 1 species
UAGAAGCGACGCCUAUCAUCUAUUACUCUUUUUUUUUUGCUUAGAGCCAUCUAUUACUCUUUAAAUAACAAGUAAUUAACAGAAGAUACAACGAGGCGCAACAUGUCACGUUUUGCUCUCCCUUUGUUCUCUAAUCCUACGUACCGCGACGACAAACUUACUGCACAAGGAAGAGGAGCAUGAGCAUCAUAUCAAACACCACCAAGAAGAGAUGGAUCGACAGACAGACAGCCGAUGAUCAUUGAUCGGUAGAUCGGAGAGACCGAUCACCGCUCAAAGGGUCCAGCUGGAUGGAGCUGCUUGCAGAGUGCAAGGUAGGUGAGGUAGAGGACGCGGUCCUUGGCCCCGGUGCGGUGGUUCUUGGUGUGCUUGCAGAAGUACUUGAGUUGAUCCAGGGUGCAACAUCCCAGGGUUUGGCCUAACAGCAUGAACAGCCAGUUGAUAGAUCGUUUCUUGGCCGCCACCACUGGGCGCAUGCAGUUGGGCUGCCCGCAGGACCGGCAAUCCGGGAA